rnacentral:rRNA from 1 species
GACGAACGCUGGCGGCGUGCUUAACACAUGCAAGUCGAACGGAAAGGCCCUGCUUUUGUGGGGUGCUCGAGUGGCGAACGGGUGAGUAACACGUGAGUAACCUGCCCUUGACUUUGGGAUAACUUCAGGAAACUGGGGCUAAUACCGGAUAGGAGCUCCUGCUGCAUGGUGGGGGUUGGAAAGUUUCGGCGGUUGGGGAUGGACUCGCGGCUUAUCAGCUUGUUGGUGGGGUAGUGGCUUACCAAGGCUUUGACGGGUAGCCGGCCUGAGAGGGUGACCGGCCCCAUUGGGACUGAGAUACGGCCCAGACUCCUACGGGAGGCAGCAGUGGGGAAUAGUGCACAAUGGGCGGAAGCCUGAUGCAGCAACGCCGCGUGCGGGAUGACGGCCUUCGGGUUGUAAACCGCUUUCGCCUGUGACGAAGCGUGAGUGACGGUAAUGGGUAAAGAAGCACCGGCUAACUACGUG